GAUGAAGAACGUAGUGAAAUGCGAUACGUAGUGUGAAUUGCAGAAUUCCGUGAACCAUCAAAUCUUUGAACGCAUAUUGCGCUCGAGGCUUCGGCCGAGAGCAUGUCUGCCUCAGCGUCGGUAUUACCCCUCGCUUCUCAACCCCUGGUUGAUGCCUGCCUGCCUUUGCAGUUGGCUAGAAGCGGAUCUGGCUUUCCCAAUUGCCUUUGGUAGUUGGGUCAGCUGAAGCACAGAGGCUUGAGCAAGGACCCUUAUUGAGCUUCAACUGGAUAGGUAGAACUGGUCUUAGGACCAACUACACGAAGUUGUUGCUUGUGGUCUUUUGUCUGGAGGCCAGCAGGAAACCUUUAUACCUUCGACCUGAGCUCAGGCAAGAUUACCCGCUGAACUUAAGCAUAUCAAUAAGCGGAGGA
rnacentral:misc_RNA from 1 species